UACGUAGGGGGCAAGCGUUGUCCGGAAUCAUUGGGCGUAAAGAGCGUGUAGGCGGCCCGGUAAGUCCGCUGUGAAAGUCCAGGGCUCAACCCUGGGAUGCCGGUGGAUACUGUCGGGCUCGAGUCCGGAAGAGGAGUGUGGAAUUCCUGGUGUAGCGGUGAAAUGCGCAGAUAUCAGGAGGAACACCGGUGGCGAAGGCGGUGAUCUGGGCCGACACUGACGCUGUAGAGCGAAAGCGUGGGGAGCGAACAGG
rnacentral:rRNA from 1 species